rnacentral:rRNA from 1 species
CAAUAGCGUAUACUAAUGUUGUUGCAGUUAAAAAGCUCGUAGUUGAACUUCUGGUAGGAGUGUCCCGGCCUUUUUGUUUUUACAAAUUGUAUGCUGUGUGACAUCUCUGGCCAUCCUUCUUCUUUGUUUAAAGAAGAUCUUUCACUGUAAAAAAAUUAGGGUGUUCAAAGCAAAAGUUUCUUUGGAAUAUAUUAGUAUGGGAUGAUAAGAUAGGCUCUAGAUGCUAUUUUGUUGGUUUGCACAUUUAGAGAAUGAUUAACAGGGACAGUUGGGGGUAUUCGUAUUUACAUGUCAGUGGUGAAAUUCUUGGAUUUUGGAAAGACGAACUACUGCGAAAGCAUUUACCAAGGAUGUUUUCAUUAA